rnacentral:misc_RNA from 1 species
AAACAAGAACUGUAUUAUCUCAAAGAUUGUUUACACAACAACAAUUCUUCAGACCUCAAAAACACACAAAACAAAUAGAAAGAAGAAUAACACACCUUAUUAUUAAUUAAUAUAGUGCGUCACAUCACACAUUAUAAUACUAUAGUUUGGUGAAAAACACAAGUAUAUACUAUUACAUCACUAGUUAAAUACAUCAACACCAAGUGAACUGAUUAUGGACUUUAUAGGUCCAAAUCCUAAAUAUACAAUCAAAAGCAAACUUCACAUACCCAACAGCAGCAUAUUGCAAAUAGGCAUCCUUCAAUGAAGCCCCUUUCUCCUUUUGGUUUACUUCUUGGGAAGCACUUCAUCUUCUUGUUCUUCUUUUCUGUUGGUUGUGGGGUAGAUUCUGUCGGAUAACCUAGGGGAGGUUGGUUUUGUUGAUUUUGCAUAUUGGAAUGAACACAAGAAAAAGAAAGAAGUAUAUGAAGAGUACUGUAUACUAUAUGUCAAGUAAAUAGAAUGGAUCAGUGUAUGUAAAUAUAUGAAAA